AAUGAAAGAAUUGAAGAGCAGGUGCAAUCUCCUAAUGAAGUUCAACUACUGAAAUUGGUACUUAGGUAAAGGGAGUAAAUUAAAACCCUAAUAAGAUAGACUGAUGACAACAAUGGUCAAAUGUUGUUAAGCUCAUAAUUUCAUACAUAUAUAUGCCCUAUUUAUUUAGUCUUUUUGCUUAGUUUCCUAGAAUUCUGAGUCAUUUAUCUCUCUUUGUGUAUUUUGUAGGUCAAUAGAGCAAGAGGGAAUAAUUCAUUCAAUUCAAGCAUGUUAAGGUCUGAUUUGGAUGAAUGGAAGAAGAGCUUAAAGACAAACCCAAUUUGGGCUAUACUCCCUUGUCAGUCCAGUUUCGUAGGUGUUGAACGGAAAAUUUUCACAAAAGCAAUUAGCCAAGAGUUUGACUUAGGUUAGAAUUGAAUUUGUUUUGUCCCUGCAAUCUUAUCAAGAAAAACAUUUAAAAAUAAAAUAGAUGUAUUUCAGUGGUUUUGAAACACCAAGAGAUAAGUAUCUCGGUUGAGAAGUGGUCAUCAGCUUGAAUUCAAACUCAUCAUAAGAUAGCCUCUAUAAGAGGCAUGACACGAGGGGAGAAAAGAAAAAAGGGAAAGAGAACAGGAGGAGGACAGAAAAAGAGCAGAAAGGAGAACAGUCAUAGCAAGAAGAAAAAUUAUCAAGCAGACUUGAGAAAGGAAAGAGCCAUUUCAAGGUAAAAAGAUUAGUUUCAUGGCACAAUUUUCUGAUUUUUUUGCUCAAGAUUUCAGGUUCCAUUCAACUCAAGGGUUCCUAGCCAUGAUGAUUUCUAUCAUCAUAAAAAGGGUCAGUAAUCUCUCUAAGGGACAGCUCCGCUCAAGUAACUUCGAGGAUACGAUCCGCACCCAGCAGUUUGUUUGAUCAAUCCACAGAAAUUCUUGGCUAUGAUGAUUGAAAUCAUCAUAACCAAGGUUAAGAAUCUCUCCAAGGCUUGGCUCCGCUAAGAUAAUUCCAUCGAUGUUUUCAGUCCACCACCAAUAGGGAAGAUUGUCUUCCGUGAUGAUUUCAAUCAUCAUAUUUCCAACAGGCAACUCCGGUUAAAUGCUUCCAAAUGCAGGGGAUGUCUCAAAUCAUGGAGAGUUAAGGAGGAUAUGGGGGUCACUAUGGAAUCAAAAUCAAAGAAGGAGGGCGUGUAAAAACCUCUAUAUGGAGCAUCUAAAAAUAAAAGGUUCUCACGGCAAUUGAAUUGCCUCCCUAUGGGCAGCUGCCGCCAGCAAGUCAACAAAGAAAAAAAAGACAAAAAAAAGAGAAGGAGAAGAGAGCCAGCGGAGGAAGAGAUAAUGGAGCAAAAGAAAAAUGGUGGGUUUGCUUCUUGUGUUUGGUUGCAAAGAAACAAAACAAAGAGGAGUUGAAAAAAACAAAAAAAAGGGGGCUGUGUCGCACAUCCCCUCCCUA
rnacentral:lncRNA from 1 species